rnacentral:rRNA from 1 species
GAUGAACGCUGGCGGCGUGCCUAAUACAUGCAAGUAGAACGCUGAAGGGGGAGCUUGCUCUUCUGGAUGAGUUGCGACCGGGUAAGUAACGCGUAGGUACCCUGCCUGGUAGGGGGGGAAAACUAUUGAAAACGUUAUCAAAUACCCCAUGCAAACAUUAAUUCCUUGAUAACUGUUUAAAAGGGCCACUUGCUCCACUACAAGAGGACCCUGCGUUGUAUUAGCUAGUUGGUGAGGAAACGGCUCACCAAGGCGAAGAUACAUAGCCGACCUGAGAGGGUGAUCGGCCACACUGGGACUGAGACACGGCCCAGACUCCUACGGGAGGCAGCAGUAGGGAAUCUUCGGCAAUGGACGGAAGUCUGACCGAGCAACGCCGCGGGAGUGAAGAAGGGUUUCGGAUCGUAAAGCUCUGUUGUAAGAGAAGAACGAGUGUGAGAGUGGAAAGUUCACACUGUGACGGUAUCUUAACAGAAAGGGACGGCUAACUACGUG